AAGCCUUAAAAACUAUUCUAGGCAUGUUAUUGUUCCAAAAGAAAUAGCAAAAUUGAUACCAAAAACUCACUUGAUGACUGAAAAUGAAUGGAGAAGUCUUGGAGUUCAGCAGAGUCAGGGAUGGAUCCAUUAUAUGAUUCAUGAUCCUGAACCUCAUAUCUUGCUUUUUCGUCGACCUUUACAAGGCCCAGCUCCCAGCCAGGAAGAACAGGCAAUAAGUGACAUGUGAAAAUUAAUAUAAAUGUGCACAUAUCUGGAGUAUAAGAAAUAUUUGUACAUAUUGUAUAGUUUUGCUGGAGAUUCUGAAAAGUGAACUCUGUGAAGUUCGCAUGAAAAUGUAUUUUCCGUCUUUGGCUUAGAUGGGGACAUUACUAAAAUUUCUUAUAAAGAAGUAUUUUAGUCAUGAGCUAUAAAUAAAAGCAUUACAUCUAAAGCAUGCAGGUAAUAUUUAUGAAAUAAGAGAUGUCUCUAACUUCAUAUUUUGGACAAAGUACACAUUUUAAAGAAUUUAUUCUUUUUAAACUUUCAAUUGAUUUGUAGAUAUUGUUUGCUUGAAUUUUUCAAACUAUUUUAUAAGCAAUGUCAAUUUUUCUUAAGCACAAAGUUAAUGCUUAUGUUAGUACUUUUUUUUAAUACUAAGUACGCAACAUAAAGUACAAGUUUUUAAAAUAUUUCAUGUGUUUAAUAGGGCUCUAAAUUAUAAUAAAAGCAGUCAAUGUCCUCAUCAUUCAUCUGAUUUUCAUUUAACCUAUUGUUAGUUAAGUACUUUGUAUAAAAUAAAUUGUUUUGUUUCUGUUUUUUUUUUUUUUUUUUAUUCAGUGCUUUAUUUUCUUAUACAAAAUUGUAUCAAAUUUGAAUUUAAGAAAAAUCAAUAUUAUUCUUGUGUUGGCUUAGUAUAUUAUUUAUUGUUUCAUCAGUAACUGCAGUUAUUCAGUGUAAUAAGUAAAAAAUUGAUAAAUGGAAUUUGAUGUUAAAUUAAUAAAAUUAUGAAUUACACAAUAAGGUCUUUUUAUUUUUCAAUAAAAGUGUGAUUUAAAUAAAGCCUAAGUGUUUAGGCUGAAAAUAAAAAAUAUAUAUAUAUACUGA